rnacentral:lncRNA from 1 species
CCUUGCCUUUGUAAGUUAUUUCUAACUUCUGCUGAAAAUGCUAUUAGUUGAUGAUCUUUUUUAUUUAUUAACAGCCUGGAAAAUUAAAUGUGUAAUCAAAGAAUGGAUCCUUUCCUAAAAGUGCAAGGUGGGAUGAAUUAGAUCAGUGGUACAAAAAAAAAAAAAAAAAAAAAAACGUUCUUUACUGCAGUAGGCCAUUGGAUACUCUGGGAAGAAGGGAAGAAGGGACUUAAACANNNNNNNNNNNNNNNNNNNNAAAAAAAAAAAAAAAAAAAACGUUCUUUACUGCAGUAGGCCAUUGGAUACUCUGGGAAGAAGGGAAGAAGGGACUUAAACAAAACAUUAAAUUGAAGAGGAUUCAGAGGUUCAAUCACUAACAGCCACUGCAAGACAGAGAAAUCCUCUUUAGAUAGAUAUUUUCUCUGCAUUUGUUUCCAAACUGUAAUUCUGCUCCGUGAUUAAAAAAAAAAAAAAAAAAAAAAAAAGAUUUUAUAUUUCAGUCUCUCAGGGCAGAUUCCAAAUAAUUACAUGCAAAAUGAUCUAUAAUAUAUUUAUUGCAAAUAGUAUUGCAGAACACAAAUGUGCAUUUUAUUCAGAAAGGUCAUUUUUUAAAACAUCCAUUGUAGCUGAUUCACUAACGUCCAGGGGUUUUUGCUAUACACACAGCACAGAUUUUUUUGAUUAUGUAGAUUUUUUUUUCUAUUGCAGUUUCAUAUGCAAAGCAUGCAUCAGCCACAUCCAUGCUAUCUCCUAAAGCAGUCAUUCUGAAACCCAAUCUGGGGACAGUGCAGACUAAAUAAAAUUUCAUUUUGAUUUGGCCUCCCGCUGAGAAUGGGACUGCUUUGUUUCAGCCGACAGAACCAGCAAGCCAGAAAGGGUCAUUGUGGUAGAGGAAAUAUUUUUAUCUGGGCGUCAGGAAAUGGUGGUCUGGCUAGUGACUGCAGUGGUGUGGAUGGUUACAUGAACAGCAUUUACUCAGGGGCAAAGCAUGCCAUCGUUUACCUCUGCUCCAGAAGUCCUGGACUACAAGAACAAAUCAACAUCAAUGCCACCUGGAAAUAUCCAUUGAGGAAGGAUUGUGGAGUCUAGUACCCUGAAACAACCCUUCAACCUGAAGCAAGGUGAGUCUGAAAUUGGCAAGUAAGAUAUUGAUGUGAAUAAACAGAACCCUCCUGAGUCA